UUGCAAAUUUACUUCAAAUUUAUAUCGACCCCUUUGCCCAAAUUAUCGUAUGUUACAUUUUUUACGAAAUUGACUUUUUGAUGCAACUUUGUUUUACAACCAUUACAACCAUAACGCAACACCUGUUCAAAUAUUACGGCUUAA